CCCUUAGAUGUUCUGGGCCGCGCGCGCGCUACACUGAUGCAUUCAACAAGUUCUACCUUGGCCGAGAGGCCUGGGAAAUCUUUCAAAUAUGUAUCGUGAUAGGGAUAGAUUAUUGCAAUUAUUAAUCUUGAACGAGGAAUUCCUAGUAAAUGCAGAUCAUCAUUCUGCGUUGAUUACGUCCCUGCCCUUUGUACACACCGCCCGUCGCACCUACCGAUUGAAUGAUCCGGUGAAGCCUCGGGAUUGUGCCCAGAGAACUUUAUUGUGAUUUGGGUGUGAGAACUUGUCUAAACCUUAUCAUUUAGAGGAAGGUGAAGUCGUAACA
rnacentral:rRNA from 1 species